rnacentral:rRNA from 1 species
GCCGAAAGCUACUGGAGUACCUGUACGUAGAGGGUUGCGUAGGUGGUUUGUUAAGCGAAAAGUGAAAUCUGACGGCUCAACCGUACAGACUAUUAUUCGAACUGGCAAACUCGAGAAUGGUAGAGGUAACUGGAAUUUCUGAAGUAGGGGUAAUAUCCGUAGAUAUCAGAAGGAACACCAAUGGCGUAGGCAGGUUACUGGACCAUUCCUGACACUGAGGCACGAGAGCGUGGGGAGCGAACCGGAUUAGAUACCCGGGUAGUCCACGCCGUAAACGAUGGAUACUAGCUGUUGGAGGUAUCGACCCCUUCAGUAGCGAAGCUAACGCGUUAAGUAUCCCGCCUGUGGAGUACGGUCGCAAGACUAAAACAUAAGGGAAUUGACGGGGACCCGCACAAGCGGUGGAUUAUGUUCUCUAAUUCGACGAUAAACGAAGAGCCUUACCAGGGCUUGACAUCCUUGGAAUCACUACGAAGGUAGAGAGUGCUUUAUUGAGCCAAGUGACAGGUGUUGCAUGGCCGUCGUCAGCUCGUGUCGUGAGAUGUUUGGUUAAGUCCAUUAACGAGCGCAACCCUUGUGAUUAGUUGUAUUCUUCUAAUCAGACUGCCCCGGUAACGGGGAGGAAGGAGGGGAUGACGUCAGGUCAGUAUUACCCUUACGCCCUGGGCUAGAAACGUAAUACAAUGGCCGGUACAAUGCGCCGCGAAGCCGCGAGGUGGAGCAAAUCGCAUCAAAGCCGGUCCCAGUUCGGAUUGUAGGCUGAAACUCGCCUGCAUGAAGUCGGAAUCGCUAGUAAUCGCA